rnacentral:rRNA from 1 species
UUGGAGGGCAAGUCUGGUGCCAGCAGCCGCGGUAAUUCCAGCUCCAAUAGCGUAUAUUAAGGUUGUUGCAGUUAAAAAGCUCGUAGUUGAAUUUCGGGGUUAGUAGGUUGGUCAUGCCACUGGUAUGUACUGGUCUCACUGAUUCCUCCUUCCUGAUGAGCCGUAAUGCCAUUAAUUUGGUGUUGCGAGGAACCUGGACUGUUACUUUGAAAAAAUUAGAGUGUUUAAAGCAAGCUAACGCUUGAAUACAUUAGCAUGGAAUAAUGAAAUAGGACGUUCGAUCCUACUUUGUUGGUUUCUAGGAUUGACGUAAUGAUUAAUAGGGAUAGUUGGGGGCAUUAGUAUUCAAUUGUCAGAGGUGAAAUUCUUGGAUUUAUUGAAGACUAACUACUGCGAAAGCAUUUGCCAAGGAUGUUUUCAUUAAUCAAGAACGAAAGUUAGGGGAUCGAAGACGAUCAGAUACCGUCGUAGUCUUAACCAUAAACUAUGCCGACUAGGGAUCGGAUGAUGUUAAUUUUUUAAUGACUCAUUCGGCGCCUUACGGGAAACCAAAGUGUUUGGGUUC